UUAACUUAUUAUAUAGUACUCAGACGACAUAUAACACAGAAUUUGGGGGGGCUGUUGGCAGGCACGACACGGGCGAGCCCGGACGCCCCAUGGUGAGGGCAACCUGCCAAAGCAACAAUAGUAAUUAAACAGGGUGGGAGGUCUACCCCGAAGGGCAUGAACUCUGUAAUGAUCCUUCCGCUGGUUCACCAACGGAAA
rnacentral:misc_RNA from 1 species